rnacentral:rRNA from 1 species
GAGUUUGAUCGUGGCUCAGAUUGAACGCUGGCGGCAGGCCUAACACAUGCAAGUCGAGCGGAUGACGGGAGCUUGCUCCUUGAUUCAGCGGCGGACGGGUGAGUAAUGCCUGGGAAUCUGCCUGGUAGUGGGGGACAACGUUUCGAAAGGAACGCUAAUACCGCAUACGUCCUACGGGAGAAAGCAGGGGACCUUCGGGCCUUGCGCUAUCAGAUGAGCCUAGGUCGGAUUAGCUAGUUGGUGGGGUAAUGGCUCACCAAGGCGACGAUCCGUAACUGGUCUGAGAGGAUGAUCAGUCACACUGGAACUGAGACACGGUCCAGACUCCUACGGGAGGCAGCAGUGGGGAAUAUUGGACAAUGGGCGAAAGCCUGAUCCAGCCAUGCCGCGUGUGUGAAGAAGGUCUUCGGAUUGUAGAGCACUUUAAGUUGGGAGGAAGGGCAGUAAGUUAAUACCUUGCUGUUUUGACGUUACCGACAGAAUAAAGCACCGGCUAACUCUGUGCCAGCCGCC